AGAGUAAAAGCACAGGCGUUGGCGAAAGCCGAAGUGCCGGCCGAACGGGGAGUUGUCGGGCGGACGAAACAGACACGGAGCAAGGAAACCGGAACGUCACCAAAAGGCGUCCGCUUUCCCCGGGGUCUUGCGGUUUGUGCUUUGCAUCCCGCU
rnacentral:ncRNA from 1 species